UUAAUGAAAGGAGAAAUCCGCUAUAAGAUGGGCCCGCGCCUGAUUAGCUAGUUGGUGAGGUAAUAGCUCACCAAGGCGACGAUCAGUAGCCGAUCUGAGAGGAUGACCGGCCACACUGGAACUGAGACACGGUCCAGACUCCUACGGGAGGCAGCAGUGGGGAAUAUUGCACAAUGGGGGAAACCCUGAUGCAGCAACGCCGCGUGGAGGAAGAAGGUUUUCGGAUUGUAAACUCCUGUCUUUUGGGACGAUAAUGACGGUACCAAAAGAGGAAGCCACGGCUAACUACGUGCCAGCAGCCGCGGUAAUACGUAGGUGGCGAGCGUUGUCCGGAAUUACUGGGCGUAAAGGGUGCGUAGGCGGCCUAUUAAGUCAGCUGUGAAACCCCUAGGCUUAACCUGGGGAUUGCAUUUGAAACUGAUGGGCUAGAGUGUCGGAGAGGAAAGCGGAAUUCCUAGUGUAGCGGUGAAAUGCGUAGAUAUUAGGAGGAACACCAGUGGCGAAGGCGGCUUUCUGGACGAUAACUGACGCUGAGGCGCGAAAGCGUGGGGAGCAAACAGGAUUAGAUACCCUGGUAGUCCACGCCGUAAACUAUGGAUACUAGGUGUGGGAGGUAUCGAACCCUUCCGUGCCGCAGUAAACGCAAUAAG
rnacentral:rRNA from 1 species